rnacentral:rRNA from 1 species
ACCAGGGUAUGUAACGUUGAGUGAAGGGUAUGGAUGUGAUCUGUAUUCUGAUAGCGUUACGCGUGGUGCAUGGCCGUUCUUAACACGUGGGGUGACUUGUCUGGUUAAAUCCGAUAACGCGUGAGACCCUGGAAAUUGACGAUACUUGACAAGAGUAGGGAAGCUCGGGUCGAUGACAGGUCUGUGAUGCCCGUAGAUAUUCUGGGCGCCACGCGCACUACAGUGGGAGAGGAUACGUGAAACGGAACUCUCUUGCGGUUGGGAUUGACGUUUGUAAAUACGUCAUGAACGCGGAAUUCCUAGUAAUUUGUUGUCAUUAACGAUAGAUGAAUGAGUCCCUGUUCUUUGUACACACCGCCCGUCGUUAUCUAAGAUGAAUGUGCGGAUGAAGUUGGUUAGGCCAAAAGAAUCCGUGCGAUUAGAUUGGAUACAAGUCGUAACAAGGUUGCGGUAGGAGAACCUGCCGCAGGAUCAAUAAAAAGAUCAUUGGGUUUUUAUAAUGUGGGUAACACAUUGCGUUCGAAGGAUCGAUUGGUUUUGGUGACGAUGACGAUUGUUGCUGUAUGCGAUAAUGAGUGACAACAGCCUUGUUUAACUCGUUAUCUAAUUAUAGAUGCCAUCUAUGAUUACCCCUUGGACUUAAGCAUAUCAUUAAAGAGAGGAAAAGGAAACAACAGUGAUUUCGA